GUCAGGGAUGCAUAUAACCGCUGGACAAAGGUCAAUGACAAGGUCCAAAUCUAUAUCUUUGAGAGUGUAGGUUUUAGUUUGAUUGCUGCUAACGCACUUUACUAAAUCGGCAUUUAGGCGAGCCACCCAGUGGUGUGGUAUGAAGUGAGUUUAGUACGCUCUGCCAAAACGGGUCCUCACUAUAGUAAAGUGCGUGUCGCACUCACGAGGGACUGCUAGUGAGAUACUGGAGGAAGGUGGGGAUAACGUCAAGUCCGCAUGGCCCUUAUGGGCUGGGCCACACACGUGCUACAAUGGCAAUGACAAUAGGAAGUAAGGCUAUAAGGCAGAGUGAAUUCGAAAAGAUUGCCUCAGUUCGAAUUGUUCUCUGUAACUCGGGAACAUGAAGUUAGAAUCGUUAGUAAUCGCGGAUCAGCAUGCCGCGGUGAAUAUGUACUCAGGCCCUGUAC
rnacentral:ncRNA from 1 species